AGUGAACGCUGGCGGUAGGCCUAACACAUGCAAGUCGAACGGCAGCACAGGAGAGCUUGCUCUCUAGGUGGCGAGUGGCGGACGGGUGAGGAAUACAUCGGAAUCUGCCCAGUCGUGGGGGAUAACGUAGGGAAACUUACGCUAAUACCGCAUACGACCUUCGGGUGAAAGAGGGGGAUCGCAAGACCUCUCGCGAUUGGAUGAGCCGAUGUCGGAUUAGCUAGUUAGCGGGGUAAUGGCCCACCAAGGCGACGAUCCGUAGCUGGUCUGAGAGGAUGAUCAGCCACACUGGAACUGAGACACGGUCCAGACUCCUACGGGAGGCAGCAGUGGGGAAUAUUGGACAAUGGGCGCAAGCCUGAUCCAGCCAUACCGCGUGGGUGAAGAAGGCCUUCGGGUUGUAAAGCCCUUUUGUUGGGAAAGAAAUCUUUCAGGCUAAUACCCUGGGAGGAUGACGGUACCCAAAGAAUAAGCACCGGCGAACUUCGU
rnacentral:rRNA from 1 species